rnacentral:misc_RNA from 1 species
GAAAUUAUAAUCAUUGUAAUUUUAGUUAUAUUCCUAUUUUGUGUUCUUUGAAGUGUGUAAAAGCAUACCAAGCUUGAUAGAAUUAAUCAAGCUUUUCCAUAAUAAAUGUUUUUCUUCUCUCUUUUUUACUAAUAGGAAUCACGUUGAAAUGCUCAUGGAUCACCCAUCGUUGAUCCAGUGAAAAACUCAACCAAAUCUGGUGAGGUUGGCAUUGUUUGGAAGCUUUAGGGAC